GACCGCGUAGCUCAGUUGGCAGAGCAUUGGAUUAGUAUUCCAAAGGUCGUAGGUUCGAUUCCCACCGUGGUCA